UACAGAGGUCCCAAGCGUUGUUCGGAUUCACUGGGCGUAAAGGGUGCGUAGGUGGUGAGGUAAGUCGGAUGUGAAAGCUCGGAGCUCAACUCCGAAAUGGCAUUGGAAACUACCUUGCUCGAGGGAUGGAGGGGGGACUGGAAUUCUCGGUGUAGCAGUGAAAUGCGUAGAUAUCAGGAGGAACACCGAUGGCGAAGGCAGGUCUCUGGGCUGACACUGACACUGAGGAGCGAAAGCCAGGGGAGCAAACGGG
rnacentral:rRNA from 1 species